CCUACGGGAGGCAGCAGUGGGGAAUAUUGCACAAUGGGGGCAACCCUGAUGCAGCAACGCCGCGUGAGUGAUGAAGGCCUUCGGGUCGUAAAGCUCUGUCCUAAGGGAAGAAUACUGACGGUACCUUAGGAGGAAGCCCAGGCUAACUACGUGCCAGCAGCCGCGGUAAUACGUAGGGGAGUAGCGUUAUCCGGAAUUACUGGGCGUAAAGGGUGCGUAGGCGGCCCUUCAAGUUAGAGGUGAAAGGCUACGGCUCAACCGUAGUAAGGCUUUGAAAAUGGAGGGCUUGAGUGCAGGAGAGGAGGGUGGAAUUCCCAGUGUAGCGGUGGAAUGCGUAGAUAUUGGGAGGAACACCAGUUGCGAAGGCGGCUCUCUGGAGUGUAACUGACGGUGAGGCACGAAAGCGUGGGGAGCGAACAGGAUUAGAUACCCGGGUAGUC
rnacentral:rRNA from 1 species